GACGAACCGUACGAACGUUAUUCGGAAUUACUGGGCUUAAAGCGUGCGUAGGCGGCGCGGUAAGUUGGAUGUGAAAUCCCUCGGCUCAACCGAGGAACUGCGUCCAAAACUGCCGUGCUCGAGGAAGAUAGAGGUGAGCGGAACUCACGGUGGAGCGGUGAAAUGCGUUGAGAUCGUGAGGAACACCCGUGGCGAAAGCGGCUCACUGGGUCUUUUCUGACGCUGAGGCACGAAAGAUAGGGGAGCAAACGGG
rnacentral:rRNA from 1 species